UUAUGKUUUUUUUUCAUUUACAGAUGUAAAAUGACUUUGCAAAAGAACUUUACCUAUCCAAUUAUACAGAUGGGAAAACUGAGGCAUAAGUGAUAGGAGAUGUCAUCGUCAGAGCCAUAAGCUGGUCCAAGUCUGCUCUGCUGGUCCAUGUAUCUUCCAGAGGAUGAAUUCAUAAUGCUUGGCUUAUUGUUUUACAUGUUCCUGCCAGGCAAGCUGGACUAUCCUAGGACAUGAAAGGCUGUGUKAUGGUUGUGGAUGAAGCUAGCUGUGACUUCGUGCGUAAGGUUUGAACUCCCGCUGCAAGGCUGCACAGGCCUUGGGCUAGUCCUCCCCAAAAGGCUGAAUUUCCUCCCGCAUGUAGUGGGACGACAGGAUAGAAGUGGCAAAUGCAAUCCGAAAGCAGCGUCGGCGCGGAACGGAAGGUGUGCAGGCGACAAAGCCACCAACCUGGAGGUCUCAGGAACAAAAAUUCGUUCGGUGUGUCCAGAAAACAGAACAAUGAAAAGUUCAAAAGGCUUUUGAAGGAGAGUGUGUUGCAUGGAAGGAGGCUCCUCAACUUGUCUAAAGAAGCAUCUCCAUUUGGAAGAUGAUUAC
rnacentral:lncRNA from 1 species